rnacentral:rRNA from 1 species
AAUAGAUACCCGGUAGUCCAUGCCGUAAACGUUGGGCACUAGGUGUGGGGCUCAUUCCACGAGUUCCGUGCCGCAGCAAACGCAUUAAGUGCCCCGCCUGGGGAGUACGGCCGCAAGGCUAAAACUCAAAGGAAUUGACGGGGGCCCGCACAAGCGGCGGAGCAUGCGGAUUAAUUCGAUGCAACGCGAAGAACCUUACCAAGGCUUGACAUACACCGGUAACGGCCAGAGAUGGUCGCCCCGCAAGGUCGGUGUACAGGUGGUGCAUGGUUGUCGUCAGCUCGUGUCGUGAGAUGUUGGGUUAAGUCCCGCAACGAGCGCAACCCUCGUCCCAUGUUGCCAGCGGGUUAUGCCGGGGACUCAUGGGAGACUGCCGGGGUCAACUCGGAGGAAGGUGGGGAUGACGUCAAAUCAUCAUGCCCCUUAUGUCUUGGGCUUCACGCAUGCUACAAUGGCCGGUACAAAGGGCUGCGAUACCGCGAGGUGGAGCGAAUCCCAAAAAGCCGGUCUCAGUUCGGAUUGGGGUCUGCAACUCGACCCC